rnacentral:rRNA from 1 species
UACGGAGGGUGCAAGCGUUAUCCGGAUUUACUGGGUUUAAAGGGUGCGUAGGUGGGUUGGUAAGUCAGUGGUGAAAUACUUUCGCUUAACGAAGGAACUGCCAUUGAUACUACCAGUCUUGAAUACAGUGGAGGUAGGCGGAAUGCGUCAUGUAGCGGUGAAAUGCUUAGAUAUGACGCAGAACACCAAUUGCGAAGGCAGCUUGCUACACUGUUAUUGACACUGAGGCACGAAAGCGUGGGGGAUCAAACAGG